CUGGGUUCUGGGUUGGACGAUGCGAUACAAGUCAAUUACCCUCUUAUUAUUGAAAACCCAAGGAGGGGGAACAAUGUGCAAUUGGCUCGGAGCGAAUGUUAUCAAAAAAUAUUCAAAAGGCACGACUACCCUUUCUUUUAGGGAUUGGUAAUUACAUCCGGCCCAGGAGCCACUUUUUUUUGAUAAGUUUAGUGCAUGCACAGCUUUUAUCUUCUAAAUUUCCUGAAACAUAGGAUUGACCUUGGAUCUUAAGGUACGGUGAUUUUUGCUGAUGAAUGUUAUUGAGAGGGGAGUGUGUGGCGGAAGAAUGAAAUUAUUUGAAACUAUCGGUGUAGUGGUUUCGAAUCAUCAUCACUAGGGUAUAUAUGAACUUGAAAAGAAAAGCAAAAGAUUGUCUACCAAAGUUCACAUUUGCUCUGCAAGGGACUUCUACAAAGGCAAAAUGGCGAGGCUGACAAUUGCAAGCCACACCAGAAAGAAAAAAAAAAAAGGAAAAAGAUAUGAAUAAUCAAGGCGUACACAGACAGGGAGGCAAUGCAAAGACUCUCAGCCUCACACUUCACUUCUAACAGGGUUGGGUGAUGGGAGGCGGGGAAAUUUCGGUAGGCCAGGAUUGAAUGGCACAGCAAGGCUUCUCAAAGUCUCGCCUUGCGAUCCGCCUCCUCCUGCAGCUUCUUUACUCUAUCCCACGUCACCAAGGCAAAAGGUUUCAUUUGCUUUGCAUAUUCACUUGCCCGGGCGCUACUCGCCUGUCUAAGCGCAUACCUGGCUGCGAUGCCUUGCAUGAUCACCGAGCCCCUGAACCCAU
rnacentral:sRNA from 2 species